AGAGUUUGAUCAUGGCUCAGGAUGAACGCUGGCGGCGCACUUAAUGCAUGCAAGUCGAACGGACCGACAAAUGGAAGGUAGUUUCGGCUAUCAACUGUAGGUCGGUUAGUGGCGAACGGGUGAGUAACACGUGGGCGACCUGUCCCGAAGAGGGGGAUAACCGCUGGAAACGACGGCUAAUACCCCAUGAUCUCCGCGGUGUUUGAGGACCACGGAGGAAAGCUCCGGCGCUUUGGGAGGGGCCUACGGCCUAUCAGCUAGUUGGUGAGGUAACGGCUCACCAAGGCAAUGACGGGUAGGGGACCUGAGAGGGUGACCCCCCACACUGGCACUGAGACACGGGCCAGACUCCCACGGGAGGCAGCAGCAGGGAAUAUUGCACAAUGGGCGAAAGCCAGAUGCAGUGACGCCGCGUGGAGGAUGAAGGCUCUCGAGUUGUAAACUCCUUUUCCGGGGGACGAGGAAGGACGGUACCCCGGGAAUAAGCCCCGGCUAACUACGUGCCAGCAGCCGCGGUAAUACGUAGGGGGCGAGCGUUAUCCGGAUUUACUGGGCGUAUAGAGCUCGUAGGCGGGGCCCCAAGUCAAAUGUGAAAGCUUCCAGCUUAACUGGGAGAGGUCGUUUGAGACUGGGGUUCUUGAGGGCAGGAGAGGGAGGUGGAAUUCCCGGUGGAGCGGUGGAAUGCGUAGAUAUCGGGAGGAACACCAGUGGCGAAGGCGGCCUCCUGGCCUGUGCCUGACGCUGAGGAGCGAAAGCUAGGGGAGCAAACGGGAUUAGAGACCCCGGUAGUCCUAGCUGUAAACGAUGGAUACUAGAUGUUGGGGGUAUUGACCCCCCCAGUGUCGCAGCUAACGCGUUAAGUAUCCCGCCUGGGGACUACGGCCGCAAGGCUAAAACUCAAAGGAAUUGACGG
rnacentral:rRNA from 1 species